UGUUCUCAGCAUGACACCU
rnacentral:snRNA from 1 species